rnacentral:rRNA from 1 species
GAUGAACGCUGGCGGCGUGCCUAAUACAUGCAAGUCGAGCGAACAGACGAGGAGCUUGCUCCUCUGUCGUGAGCGGCGGACGGGUGAGUAACACGUGGAAAACCCACCUAUAAGACUGGUAUAACUUCGAGAAACCGGCGCUAAUAGCGGAUAAUAUAUUGAACCGCAGGGGUCAAUGGUGAAAGACGGUGUUGCUGUCACGUAUAGAUGGAUCCGCGCCGCUUUAGCUGGUAGGUAAGGUAACGGCUUACCAAGGCGACGAUGCGUAGCCGACGGGAGAGGGGGAUAGGCCACCCUGGAAGUGAGCCACGGUCCUGACUCCUGCGGGAGGGCGCAGUAGGGAACCUGCCGCAGCGGGCGAAAACAUUACACAACGACGGCAAGUGAGUGAUGACGGUGCCCCGAUCGUAAAACUCUCUUACUAGUGAUAAACCAAUGUCUACUUAAAUAUGCACGUAUUGACGGUACCUAGUCAAAAAGCACCGGCUAACUACGUG